GUCUCAGCGAGUCCCUGCUCACAGGUCACUGCAGCCUGUCAGACCGUUGCCUAGAAUAAUCAAGUAUGCUUUGUUUUCAGUGUUUCUUUGCAGUUCCACAUUGCUGAGGCAGACCAGGCCAAGAGCAGGACAGAUCCCCCCCUCCAUGCCUGCCUAGACCCAGCAGCCAGUGCAGGCUCAGCCAGUGCAGGCUCCGCCAGUCCCGGGGUGUGCAGAGGGACAGAGGGAGGACUCCCUACAGCAGCUGUGCUGCUGCGGCUGCGCUGCGGCUGCAGCUGCGGCUGCGGCUUCCCUCAUUGUGUGACCGGGUGCUGCUGGGGGAGGGACGAAGGGGCAGCCGAGGCUCAGGACAUCACCCAGGGCAGAUGGCGUAAAUUCGCCAAAUGCGUAUUUCCAGCUCCAAGGAGCACCCCCAGCCUCAGCUCUGUUGUUAGAGCAGGAACUCCCUGUAAAAACCGCGCACACUGCGGCCUGUCGGCCCUGUGCCAAGACCUUGUCUCUUCUUGGUGAGUCACCAUCCUGCUCUCUGCCACUGGCCAGCAGAGGCGAGUUUUGCAGUCUCCACGCACGAGAGGAGGAGCUGCUCCUCACGGCUGGAUGAGAUGUCCCACCCUGCACACUAAGGCCGUGUGGUGCCGUUGUAAAGGGCAGAGGGUGUGUGUGCUACCCAGAUGCCUCUUCCUUAGAGCAGCAGUCUCCUGGUCUGCAGAAGGCGCCCUUGCUGUGUCCUGCACCUCAGGGAGCCCGCCCCGCAGCAGAGGGGUUCACCCAAGAUCAUGCCGUGUUCUCACGUCCUCCAGCGAGAAGCGGACCCCUCAGUACCUAGCUGGUGUGUGGCCCAGGGCCACCCUUGGGUCUUGGGUCUUGGGAGAGUGACCCAGCCAAAGGGCUUGUCCAGCUGAUGUCUCGGUCCGGCCUUCACAGCAGCGCCCAGGAGCCCAUGCUGAGGUGUGGGGGUGCUGGCCCUGGGCCAUGUGGCCCGGAGCUGGGCUUCCUUCCGGUGACCCCUCCCUAUCUCUCCACAUGUGUGCCUGCGAGUGAUGGCACUGGGGGCACUGUGGCUGCCAGACUCCAUCGGCCAGGGAGAUGCGUUUUGUCCUUUGGACGCUGACAACAAGGCCACGUUUCCGAGCCUGCUGUCUGCUUCAGUGUUUCUGGCUGUCCACCAGGUGUGGAGCGCAGGCAUCUGGCCCGGUCUGCAGCAGCUGACAGGUGACAGCUGAGCAGGAUUCAGAGUUGCACUUCUCCAGGGACACCAGCCCACCACUACUGGGCAGACCCAUCGGCCGUCCUGGUACAGAACGACCGUGCUCUGCUGCCAACUCCGCCCACUGCCUUGUGACCUGAAGCCGCUUUCCCCAUCCUGUUUGCUCUGUUGUUCUGGGCAGAUUCCAUUCCUGGAAAGGCCUGAAGCAAAGCUCUGUGUGCAGGGUAGCAGUGCUGGGACCAUCCGGUAAGGAGCAAGCCCUGGUCCCAGGCCGGAGUGAGGAUUUGCUGUGAGCUGUGGGACCCAGGGCCCCUCUCCCUCGAGCCCUGCAGCUGCUCACGUCACCACACGGAGCCUCUCUGCAUGGAACAAAACUCCCUAUCCUCUGAGGGCUCCUGAUGCUAUCGUCUGUCUCACAGGAAACCCUGACGGAGGUCUGGGCAGGGUGCCGGCCUGAGCCCCGAACACCGCUGCAUCUGCGUACACCCCAAGCCUGCGUCUCCUCCAGCUGCUGCCGGGUGCAGGCCCGGUCUUUGUGUCCUCCGUGUCUGGGCCUGCUAAACACCACGUCUGAGAAGGGCUGCUGAACACAAGUGGAGGCCGCGUCCUAGGAGAGCAGUGUCCUAGAGGGCAGUGGGGCCUGCAGAGGGCCCUUCUCCCCAACAGCUUGUCUCCUUCUGCUGGGGUCGGGCUCUUCUGUCCGUCCUUGCCCUUUAGGGUGUCUGGGCUCUGCCAAGGCUGUGUUUGGCCUCUGUUGGUCACCAGCAUGGAGGACUCGCCACACUGGAGCAUGACUCUGUGUUCCAGGCCAUGGGCUACAAGAGGGAGAGGAGUGAGGACUCAGGGCUCUUGCUCUAGAAGUUCAGGGUCACUUGGACCAGCUUCCCAACCCUCCCCUAGUGCCGGCACCUGGGAAGCUGUGGCUGUCACUCUCUGACAGGGCAGGGUGGCAGGGAGGACCGAAACAGGCACAUAAUCACCCUGCUUGGAAAAAAUCACCGUGGCAUGGCUGUGUGGUCAGUAUCGCCGAGUGGAGAGGCGUGGAUGCCCUGCUAUGUGUGAGGCACAGACUGCUGCCCUGGGGAGGGGCCUUCGGGAGCAUGGGAGGAGUGCCGUCCUGUCCAGAGGCAGCAGAAUGUUCUAGCUUUUCUCCUCAGGUCUCCCGAGGCCCUGGAUGGCCCUUCCUAGAAGUUGGCCCUCUCUCCAGCUCCUCAGCCCUGACAUCAUAGAGGCCUGCUUUUCCUAGAAAGCUUGUCCCAGCACUUUCAAGGUGGCUGGAUCUCGAGCUGGGAAAUGGGAGGGCUGGGUGUACCUCCACCUCAGCCUGGGCCUGCUGCUUGUGUGUGCCCUCCACGUCCAGGUGGCAGGCCCAUGCUGUUUCAUCCCUGUGUCCUGACCUCCCUGGUUCCAAUCCACCCCAACCCUGGGAGCUGGAGGAGGCUGGGAAGGGCACCCUGAGGGCCAGGGUGGAGUUGCAGCCAGUGCCAGGGGGUCUGGAGAGGUCCAGAGCACAGUGGGAAGCUGGAAGCCCCAGAACCUCUGGUGUGUGCACGUAUGUCAUGUGUGUCACAUGCAAAGGUGUGUGCGUAUAGCAUAUGUAUAUGCUACCUGUGCCUGCGAGUGUGGGCAGGUGUACCUGUGCACACACAGGAGUGGGCGUGCAUGCGAGUGUGGAUGGAAUCCAGUUCUAUCAGCUUGGCUGGAGAGAGCCCUCCCUGGACAUCUGGACGUCUGCCUGUCACAGCAGCCCCCUAUCCCAGCUGCACCCUGGCCUUCCUCCUAGAAAGUUAGUCAACCCUUCUGAAAGCCCUGACUUCUUGCUGGUCGCCACCAUCUCGCUUGCCUGGACACCCAGUCUGGUGCUGGCCUGAGCCCUGGACUGUGUCUGGAGGUGGCUGCUCCAUCUCAGGGGACAUUGGUCAGCCUCCCAGUCCCGCUUUCCCCAGCUUCCCCUCCCACACGUUUUCCUCCUCCCUCGGGCAUCCUUUCCCUGUGUGCAGAGCCCCCUGGGCUGUGUCUUGUGAAACGCUUCUUCCUCUGCACGCUUGGAGGCUCACGCGGAGCUGCUCGCUGACCACAGCGGCAUCGGACACAGCAAGCUGUUGGCUGAUCAGCCGUGGUGUUGGUGGGGUGAGUCUUAAGUCGCAGCAAGAAAGUGGCUGGGGAUGUGGCCGGAGCACAUGCCGAGGCCCGGACAGCCUCGGUGGUGCUCAAGCCUUCCCGUUUGGACAGGCCCACUGGAUGUGCAGAGGGCAUCCCUUUACCAAGCUGACCAAUUGCCUGUGUUAACCACACCUACCAGGUGCCUCCUGGCUGUGUGCACUCGUAAAUGCAGUCCCCACCAUAGCCACAGCCAUUUGGUUCCCCCUUCCAGUUGCCCUGUCUUACCAAACCCGCCCCUUCCCACACCAUCAUCCUCUACCCAGCAUCCACUUGGAUCCUUUGAAAAUCAGUCUACACCUCAUUUCCUUGCUUAGCAUUCCCUUCAUGUCACCGGAACAGGUGUUCACAGCCGCCCGCCCUUGUCCUGGGCUCCUAUUGGGUUCUGACCAACAUAAGGCCAGCCGACCGGUUCUUGCCAAGUAUAGCACCCAGGACAGGCAGGGGACACCAGAGGGCCAAACGGGCAGUGGGUGAUGUGCACCUGGGUGGGGGCCUCCGUGACCACCGAGGACUCCGCUUGCCAGCUGCCUACCUGAGCCUGUGUGGGGCGGUCACGGCACCCUGGGUGGAUCCCACACAAGCCUGUGCUGCUGGCCACCAGAGUCCAUCGGACUGACCCUCACGUGGCUGGCUCCUCUCCCUGGCUGCUGGGAACCUCACCGGGCCCCACAGCUUCUCUGACUUACAUUUUGCACCCACUCUGUGGACCUUUCUAAAAAGGCUAGUAGAAGCCAAGCGUGGUGGCACACACCUUCCCAGUACACUUCGAGGCUGAGGCAGCAGCAUUGAAGGUUUGGACCCAGCUUGUGUAAGUAGUAACUUAGUGAGACCCUAUCUCCAAAACUAAAUAAAAAGGGGUUGGGAAUGUAGCCCAGUGCAGAGGCUCUAGAUUUAAUUCCCAGUAGAGGAAAUGGGGAGAGGGGCCGGUAAAGCAUCCGUCAGGCCUCCCAUCCUGAGCCCUUCUGCCCGCCUUGGGGCUGGGUCCGAAGAAGAGCCCAGGGAUGCUCCCGCCUCCUUACUGCGGCUUCGGGGAGGGCUCUGGUCUUGCUGGAGGGCACCUCCCAAGGCUUGGCCUUCCUGCCGAGUCACUGUCUCCCACGGGGCCGGGGCCAGACAACCCGGGAAGCCCUGUGGCUCCCCUGAAAGGCUUGGGCCCUGACAGAGAUGCCCACCCUCCUGUGUGUGGCCCGGGGUGUCCAGGCCUCUGCCCUCAGGGCUGUACCCAGCCUGGCCCAGCCAUGGCCCUGCCCCUGCUGAGUGACUUGGGGGCCCAGUGCUGAGCGUGGGCACCGGGCAGGUGACAAGCUGCUGUGCUCAGGAGAGGAGCGCUGGAGAGGGACUUGGGGCCCCUCUCUCUGGCCUCCUGUGUUUUCACCAUGUGUGCUCUCCCUGUGGGUGGAUGUGGGGCUUUGUCUCCUUCCUCCUCCUAAAACUCCUGCUGCCACCACUUCCUGAUCAAACCCAGCUGAGCCCCUGUGCCCCUGGGGCUCCUGAGCACACCUUACCCCAGGGGUCUCAGGGUGAUGCCUCUGCUAGGGAAUAAGAGGGACGAGGGCCCUGGGGCCAGUGCUGGACCCACUGUUUGCUGAGGGGCCUGGCCCUCCGCUCAGGUGGUCGCCGGGGCCAGGCAGAGCACAGCCCUCCUGGGGGGAUGCAUGGGGGAGGCUGGGGAGAGGCUCCGCGAGCUUCCCACACGCGGCCGGGCCAGACGUCUCCGGAGACAGACAGGGAAGCCAAUGUGGCAUUUCAAGUGCUCUGAGCUGGCCCCACAGUGGGCCGGAGCAUUAAUCACCACACUGUCAUCCUCUUGAGGAGGCUGGGGCGAAGGAAAUGAGUCAGGAGGAGCGGUUGGUCUGCACAGCAAUGACUCGAGUAGGAGCCAGAAGCUUCAUCCUCCGCCCCUCGGCCCGCAUGCCGGCGGCCCCUGGGGCACAUUCGCUGUCUGCAGAGGCUGUGGCUGGCCCGACACCAGGUGCUGCUGGGAACAAGUGGCACAUGGGGGACCUGUGACCCGAAGGCCCCCUGGCUCAGGCCCAGCCGGGAUGGGGUGAGAGGCAGAGGGGCGGCCUCCGGGCAGGUGCUCCAGUGUCACAUGCCGACUGCCUGUGGGCCAUGUUCUCCCACCAGAGGUCCUGGGAGCCUCGUGCUGGGCAUAACCAGAAUUCCACCCUCAGACCCUGGGCAGCAAAAGGAUGGUAUCGCCUCUGCACCCCAGGUUUCUGUACCCACCGAGCUCAGGUGCCUUGCUCAUGCCAGCUCAUGAGCCUUGGGGAACAGCUCUCCAGGGCUGGCGUGGGCCCCUGGGGCAAUACAUCCGGAGUCCCCUGCAUCUGCCGUCAGACUGCUCCCAGACUGCUCCUUCCUGCCUGGGGGGCUGCAGGUGGAGCCCCAGGCCUCCCUUCUCCUUACCCACUCACACACCUUGGUUUGGGGUCCACUGUUGCUGGAGGGCCAUGUGGACCCCAGUGAGGAAAGCAGCGCCCUUGGCAGUCCUCAGGCCUCUUGCGCCACUGCCCCUUGGAUUUGGCAUAGCAGGUUGGGGACCAUCUCGUGAACCUGCAUGCCAGUGCGUGUGCCCGAGUCCAGGGCAGGAGUCCCCGUCACUCCACCCAAGGGAGGUGUGGGGGUCGGCACUCCCGCCUUGCAGGCGUGGGGCAGGAACAGGGGUGCCCCUGGGCUCCCUGAGGGAGACACUCCCACCCUUCAUCGCCCACCUAGGACCUGACACAAGGACGCGGCUCGCUGACCUCCCCAGUUGACCCGCCUACCUUUACACUGCCAUAGAGUUCCCUUGCCGCCCGGGGCUAUCCCUGUCUCCAAGGCCUCAGAUGUUGCAGUGGAGGGAGCGGCGAAAGGGCCAGAGGAGCUCAGGUCUUAUCCGUGGCACCAUGCACUGACAUGGGCACUGCCCGGGGCGUCCACUGUCUGUGUCCAGCUGCUUCCCAGGCUGCGCUCCUGCUGGCCAUGGGCCCGAAGACAGGGCUGAACCUUCCUACCUCUGACAGCUCCCACCUUGCAGGGCCAGCCAGGCUGCAUCCUCAUGGCCAGCCCAGCUUUGGGACCCUGUCAUGGCUGAGGCAGGAGGACCACAGCAAGUGUGCGGCCGGCCUGGGCUACAUGGCAAAACCCUGGCUCAAGAACAACAGCAAAAAACAGGUUUACCCAAACCACCUUGAGGAAAUUUGAAAGACAAAGCCACUAACUGAAGAGGGCUAUUUGCAAUGCUUAAGACAGACAGUGUAAUUACAUAAAAAGAAAAAGAAAGACCAACAGUGGCCCCUGGAGAAAUGGGCAGGGUCGCAGGUAGGCGUCGGGUGGUUUGGUCAACCCACCAAACUCCGUGGAGAUCGUCAGAGGUCGUGCGCAUGAUGGGAGGCACAAACCUGGCUGCAGCGGGGGACCACUGCCUGCACCCCAGACCCGUGGGAACGGGGCACAGCAGGUUAAACCCCGAGAACUGUCCCACGCCGUCCUGAGGUUGAAGCCCUCGGGGUGCCCCUCGCAGAGCAGGCACCUUCCUGGGCCCCAAGAACAAGGGUGAAUGUGCUCAGAUGUCCCAGCAGCUCUCCGGGGAAAACAUCGGACCAGACACGGCUCUGUGCUUGUCACCAAAGGGGAGAUGGGUUCUUAGUCACACAGAAAUCCACUGUGACCACAACUGCACACCACCACUGUGGCGCUGCCUAGUGACUCAAGGCCAAGUAGAGCUAGUCUUUGAAGACACACAGUGAUGCCCUGUCCCCUGCAACUCCAAGCCAGGCAAGCCAGGCACGGGGCCACAGGCCUGUAAUCCCAGCUCUCAGGAGGCUGAGACAGGAGGAUCGCCAUGAGUUUGAGGCCAGCCUAGGGCUACGUAGUUCAAGGCCACUGAAGUACAUAGCAAGACCCUGCCUCGAAAACCCAAACAACAAGACAAAAUCAGGCAUAGCUAGCCAUGCACAUAUGUACUUCAGAAUGUUUAACAAGAAGAGAAAGCUGGAGCUCAGGGAGGCAGCAGGGUGGCUAGUGGGCUAGGCAGGAGGAGAGGAGCUCUCCUUGUGGUGGCCUCAGGUUAGUGGGGACAGGUGUCCCGGCAGGCUGUGCAGGUGGCCCUGGCUUCCAGGCCCCUUCCCCAAGCCUGUCCACAACAGGCCAGUUGGGAGGACAGUGGCUUGGCACCAGGGCAGUGGAGAACUGAGCUCAGAGAUAGGCCAGAAAACCCACAGAAAUAAGGCAGCAUCCUCAGGGCUUCCUAGGCUGAGGCUAGGCUUUCAAGUUGGUCCAUUUGGCAGGAGCUGAUGAGGAAAAGGGGUCUCAGGGGCUGGAGGCAGCAGCUAUCCAGUGCCACAGUUGGGGUACAGGGAGGAUGGGAGUGGGGAUCCACGACCCUUGAGCUCCUGGAGCCCUGCUGGGCCAGGCCAGCCCUCUGGUUUGCUGCUGGCAACUGGGGGCUCCUCGGGAAGGGGCUCUACCCUCCAGGUCACAGGACCCCACCAAGGGAAAGUAUUCCCUUCCCCGGGAGGGGCCUGGGCAAGCACCACCA